rnacentral:rRNA from 1 species
GACGAACGCUGGCGGCGUGCCUAAUACAUGCAAGUCGAACGAGUGGCGGACGGGUGAGGAACACGUGGGAACCUACCCAUAAGAGGGGGAUAACACUUGGAAACAGGUACUAAUACCGCAUACUGAUGGAUGGACCCGGAGGUCAUUAGCUAGUUGGUGGGGUAAAGGCCUACCAAGGGGACGAACCGUAACGGGUCUGAGAGGAUGAUCAGCCACACUGGAACUGAGACACGGCCCAGACUCCUACGGGAGGCAGCAGUGGGGAAUAUUGGACAAUGGGCGAAAGCCUGAUACAGCCAUGCCGCGUGUGUGAAGAAGGUCUUCGGAUUGUAAAGCACUUUAAGUUGGGAGGCGUUACCGACAGAAUAAGCACCGGCUAACUUCGUGCCAGCAGCCGCGGUAAUAC